AUGGACGCAAGUCUGAUGGAGCAACGCCGCGUGAGUGAAGAAGGUUUUCGGAUCGUAAAGCUCUGUUGUUGGUGAAGAAGGAUAGAGGUAGUAACUGGCCUUUAUUUGACGGUAAUCAACCAGAAAGUCACGGCUAACUACGUGCCAGCAGCCGCGGUAAUACGUAGGUGGCAAGCGUUGUCCGGAUUUAUUGGGCGUAAAGCGAGCGCAGGCGGAAAAAUAAGUCUAAUGUGAAAGCCCUCGGCUUAACCGAGGAAUUGCAUCGGAAACUGUUUUUCUUGAGUGCAGAAGAGGAGAGUGGAACUCCAUGUGUAGCGGUGGAAUGCGUAGAUAUAUGGAAGAACACCAGUGGCGAAGGCGGCUCUCUGGUCUGCAACUGACGCUGAGGCUCGAAAGCAUGGGUAGCGAACAGGAUUAGAUACCCUGGUAGUCCAUGCCGUAAACGAUGAGUGCUAAGUGUUGGGAGGUUUCCGCCUCUCAGUGCUGCAGCUAACGCAUUAAGCACUCCGCCUGGGGAGUACGACCGCAAGGUUGAAACUCAAAGGAAUUGACGGGGGCCCGCACAAGCGGUGGAGCAUGUGGUUUAAUUCGAAGCAACGCGAAGAACCUUACCAGGUCUUGAC
rnacentral:rRNA from 1 species